CUUCACUUAGGGCAUGAGCAAGAUUAAUUUUUUCAGCAAAGAAGGCUCCAACAUGGCUGAAUAGUGUCAUUUUGUACUCAUCUGCUCCACUAAGAAGAACCAAAAGAGUGGGUAUUUAAUCAACUUUGGAUAGAUUAUCCAGGAGAGAAUACUGGAAUUCAACAGAAAGGUGACAGGAAAUACCUAAAGCAAGGAAGAAGAUGGAAGUGAGGCAGCCUGCUUGACUGGGAUCAGCUGGGAGCUGAGAGGCUCCCCAAUAUGGGGAAAGGGUGCCUGAGGUUGGGCCUACCUAAGCAGCCGCUACCAUAGCACAUGCCUGGAGACUGGUCUGCCUAGCCCAUGGCAACCCACUGCCAAUACCAAAAAAGACUGCUUGGGACCCAGAGGGUCAUUCUACCACUGCCACUGUCAUCACUCAUGCCAUGCUGCCUACCCAGGACCCUGAGAACCCACUCGGCCCACUGCUGAAACUACCAGCAUCUAAGUAAGUUACUUGGACACCCAAGAAUUAGCCACUGGUGCCAGCAUAUGCUGCCCUGGGGCCCAAGGGCAGACAUUAUCACCUCACUGCUGCCACCACCGGGGCCUAAAGACUGACCUGCCUGCUGUCCCAAUCCCCAGCAAAACUUCAACACAGCCUCCACUAAUAACUGCAUCGUAAGCCACUGAGGAAAUCACAGAUACCACUGAUGUUGUUUACAGCCGAAGAAGUCAUACAAAGAAUAUAUCACUGCAUGUACUCAGAAUCAAAGCCAAAGUGUGUUAUACAACCAGCAACAUAGAUACACGUUCAGGAAAAAAAUCCUCUUCUAUGGAAGUAAAUUAAAAAAAUUGGAAGAAGCAACUGUUACAUCAGAUACAUAAAAAUCAAUGUAAGGACACAAGAAACAUUAAAAAGCAAGAAAACAUGACACUUCCAAAGGAAUGCAAUAAUUCUCCAGCAACAGAUCCCAAUCAAAAAGAAAUUCACAAAAUCUUAGAAAAAGAAUUCAAAUUAUUCUAAAGAAGCUCAGUGAGAAAAAGAUUUUUCAAAAAUAAUACAUAUUAGAAAAACAAUUCAGGAUAUGAAUGAGACAUUUAACAGAAGGACAGAUGUAAAAAAGAACCGAAUUGAAAUUCUGAACUGAAGAAUCCAUUGAAUGAACUACAAAACACAUUUGAAACCUUACAAAACAGGUUUCAAGGAGAAGAAAGAAUCUCAGAACUUAAAGACAGGUCUUUUGAAGAAACCCAUACAGACAAAAAUAAAGAAUGAGCAAAGACUUCAUGACAUCUGGGACACCAUAAAGCAACCAAAUUUCAAAUUAUUGUGGGCUCAAAGGUGAAGAAAGAAUGAAACUGUUAGAGAACCUAUCUAAGAAAAUAGUAGAUGAAAACUUUCCAAGUCUAGGAAGAGAUUUAGAUAUCCAGAUACAGGAGGCUCUGAGAUCCCCAAAUGGAUACAAUGCAAAAAAGUCUUCUCCGGAGUACAUUAUAGUCAAACUCUAAAAUCAAAGACAAAAAAGAAUUUUAAAAAGACAAAAGCAUCUAGUUUACCUAUAAAGAAACCCUCAUUAGACUAAAAGCUGAUUUUUCAGCAGAAAUCUUAUAGGCCAGGAGAGAAUGUGUUGAUAUAGUCAAAGUACAGAAAUAAAAAAACUGCUUGCCAAGAAUACUAUAGCCAGAAAAAUUAUGAUUCAUAAAUGAGGAAGUAGUCUUUCCAGAGAAGCAAAAGCUUGGGAGUUCAUCAUCACUAGACUGGUCCUACAAGAAAUGCUCAAGGCAGUCCUAAAUCUGGCAGUGAAGGACAACAUUUACAAUAAUGAAAACACAUGAAAAUGUAAAACUAACUGGUAAAACACACAAAUGAGGAAGAGAAGGAAUUCAAAAGUAUUGCUACAGAUAAUUGUCAAUCCACAAUGAAAGAAAAAGGAAAGAAUAUAUAAAAUAAUAUGACAGAAACAAAACCUCACCUAUCCAUAAUAACUUUGAAUGUAAAUGGAUUAAAUUCUUCACUUGAAAGAUAAAGACUGGCUGGAUUAAAAAAAGAUUGUAAAUCAUUUUCUUCUGUAGAACAACAUUUAACAAAAUUUAAAAUUUUGGUAAAUUAAAAAUUUUAUAAAAAUCUCAGGUCAGAAAGCCCUAAGUAACUGAAAGGUUGUAUAUAAUUUUUUUAAUGUAAGGUUAUCUUCAACAUAUUUUAUAAAAUAAAAAGUGCUCUAAUAAAGAUUCUGAAUUAAAGCCUUUAGAGAUUUAAAAGACAAAUACCCUUUAUGAUGUGAUAAAACCCUCACAUAUUGAGGAAAACAGUAAAUUCGUCAAGCAAUCGUGAAAUUAGGAACAUUCUUCUCAUGUCAUGUAUUAAUAGUAAACUUGAAAGGAUCUUACUAUUUUUUUCUAGCAUUUAUCUCUACCUA
rnacentral:lncRNA from 10 species